GCAAAAACUGGAAAACAAGUGCAAGAACAAAUCCUCUUUUGCAACCCAGAACUCAUUGUUGUAUGAGUUUUGGUACAUGUAAGAAGGAAUAUCA